rnacentral:tRNA from 1 species
GCCGCUGUAGCUCAGUGGGAGAGCGUCUGGCUGAAGUCUAUAAAAUCUGAACAGAGACCAGAAUGUCGUCGGUUCAAAUCCGACCAGCGGCA